UACGGAGGAUGCAAGCGUUAUCCGGAAUGAUUGGGCGUAAAGCGUCCGCAGGUGGCUAUGUAAGUCUGCUGUUAAAGAGCAAGGCUCAACCUUGUAAAGGCAGUGGAAACUACAUGGCUAGAGUGCGUUCGGGGCAGAGGGAAUUCCUGGUGUAGCGGUGAAAUGCGUAGAGAUCAGGAAGAACACCGGUGGCGAAAGCGCUCUGCUAGGCCGCAACUGACACUGAGGGACGAAAGCUAGGGGAGCAAAUGGG
rnacentral:rRNA from 1 species